rnacentral:pre_miRNA from 1 species
GUUAACUUGUAUGUGGAUGGUGUUUAGUACCAAGGACAGACGUAUUUACCUGUGUGUGAAUGGUGUUCAGCAACACUGACAGGCGUGUUUGCCU